rnacentral:rRNA from 1 species
AAUUGGAGGGCAAGUCUGGUGCCAGCAGCCGCGGUAAUUCCAGCUCCAAUAGCGUAUAUUAAAGUUGUUGCAGUUAAAAAGCUCGUAGUUGAAUUUCGGGAUCAAUAUUUCGGUCAUGCCGUUGGUAUGCACUGUUAUCAUUGAUUUCUCACCUUCUAAAGAACCGUAAUGCCAUUAAUUUGGUGUUACGGGGAAUUAGGACUGUUACCUUGAAAAAAUUAGAGUGUUUAAAGCAGGCUCACGCUUGAAUACAUUAGCAUGGAAUAAUGAAAUAGGACAUCCGAUUCUAUUUUGUUGGUUUCUAGGAUCGAUGUAAUGAUUAAUAGGGAUAGUUGGGGGCAUUAGUAUUCAAUUGUCAGAGGUGAAAUUCUUGGAUUUAUUGAAGACUAACUACUGCGAAAGCAUUUGCCAAGGAUGUUUUCAUUAAUCAAGGACGAAAGUUAGGGGAUCGAAGACGAUCAGGUACCGUCGUAGUCUUAACCAUAAACUAUGCCGACUAGGGAUCGGAUGAUGUUAAUUUUUUAAUGACUCAUUCGGCGCCUUACGGGAAACCAAAGUGU